GAAAGGGGGGUGGAGACAGAGGCAGGAGAAGGAGUCGGAGCAGGGACAGUCCACCUGGUCCUUCCUGUCCCCAGGCUGGAGGGGAAGAGGUGCCAGCGCCCCUGCCAGCAAUGACUCUGCUUAGCUCUGCUCCCACAGAGCCUCGGAAUUGGCCUGUGUGAGGGGGCUUCCUCUCCCACCCAUGUUACAGUGAGAAUUUGGGGUCUCAGAGUUUCAGGACUGGACCGAGGUCACAAUGCAGUGGACGGAUUUGAAGCCAGGACUGCCUGACCCCCAGGCUGUGCCCCUGUCCCUACUUGGGCUGCCACGAGGAGACAUAAGAUGCGAUGCAGGGCUGGAGGAGGACAGCCCGCUCUGGGGGCACCCACCAAACAUUCGGGUCUGUGAAUGUACAUCCCGGGAGCGCGUGGCUGGGGCACACGGAUGACGACGAUUUACCGUUUCGAGAAAACAGGUGAGGAAAUUGGGGCUUGGAGAAGUGAUUGCCCAGGACACACAGCCAGAGGAACAGGACAAGCCACACGUCCUCCCAUUGUUCCUGGAAAGCCUUGGAGAAUGCAGUGCCCACAGGUCUCCUUUACCGGCCAGUUUUGUCCCCUCGGACCGCUCCAGCGGAGACCCGCCCGGACUGCGUUCCAGGCAGCGCCCUGGGGGAGCUGCGGUGCAAAGCGAGUCACAGCAUCUCGAAGCCUGGUUCCUUCUGCAAGAUGGGCGCCCUGGUCACUUUCCCCUCCGCGUGAGCGCAGCACCUGGAGGCGGGGCGCCCGGCGAGCUCAGCCCCCCCGGGGCUCCCAGUCCCCCUGUUUCUGGGCACUUUCCGGGGUGAUGGAGGCCCUUCCAAACCUGGGCCACUCCGACCUAGAGCCAUUGUCCCCCACGGAGCAGCCUGACCCCCAUCCCCUGCCCAGCAGGGCUCUGGCCUCCCCAGCAGGGGCCCGUCACGUCCCCAGGUCCAGGUCUCUGGGGAGCAUGUGCCCUGACCCCUGGCCAGAGGGCGCAGAGCCCCUUCUGAGCGUGUCUCAUCCCUCCCUCCUUUUCCGCCUUGCUCUGUGUCCUGUCCCCUCUCUGGCCUGUGAGUAUCUGGUCCAUGAGACUUGGUGCACAGGGUGUGUGUCACCUGGAACGGAGGAAGGAAGGGGCCUGGACCGUGUGGCGUUCCCUUCCGCAUCGUCCCCACCCCUUCGAGGGAGGGAGGGGGUGAUUGCGGGGUGCUGGGGCCCAGGGCGCCGUCUUGCAGCUCAGAACCUCUUGGAUGAGCCCAGCCAUUCAGUUGCGUUGGCAACAGACAGCCAGGAACAAAAGCCAAGUGGCCUCUGUGUCAGCCUUUAAAACCACUGAAAUGAUCUCACUUGUCACGCUGUGGUCCAAGUGUUUUGGCCAUUUAGGCGCAACCUUCUGUGCUUGUGACAUUAAGUGUAUUAUUAAUCUCACCUGGCCCAGUGACAAGGUGUGCAGAUCAGAUAAACGUCUGCACAGUCGUCGAGCAAGUGUGAGCGCGUCCUUCUCGGCCCCACGGAGACCCGGGUGUCUUGCCAGACUUCACGAGGCGCUUCUGGCAAGACACUGAUGGAGCAGCGCCUGCCCAGGGUGGCAGGAGGGUGGCUGUCGCCACAGUGAGGAGGAUGGGGGGGUGCAGGGGUGCUUCGAGAGGAGACAAGACCACUGGUUUCUAGGACCCACGAGGCUGUCACGUGUCCCCCCCCCCCCGGGGUGGGGACGGCUGGGGUCUUCUGAGAUGGGAUGGGAGCAGGAGGGGGCCAUAGCACGAGUCAGGUUUCAGAUGCGCUCACUCAGACAGGCUUUUGUGAACUCGUUUUUGUUGUGUGUGUGUGUGUGUGUGUGUUUUUCCGUUUUAAAUGUAAUAAAGGCUCAUUAUAGAAAACGAAAAUUGCAAAGGAGGAUGUGGAAAGCUCCCUGGCUCCAUUGCUACAACUCGCCACCGGUAACAGACAGAGAGGGGCUUCUUUUGAGACUUCUGUGUGUGCCACUGCAACUGGAAGCUUUCUGUAGACGAUUCGAAGCGGCCUUUUCCCACGUGGCAGCAUGUUCUUCUCAGCACCCGUGUGCGUCUUAUUGAGCGGAUCCCUUGCUGCGUAACCGCUGACUGGGAGGCUGUUUUCCACCUGCUGCCCGGGCGGUGCUGACCGCCUUCCUUGCUGAAUCUCCGUCCGAGUUUCUCUUUUCUUAGGAUGGGAAGCAGCCGGCUCAGAUUUGGGCAGGGUUCCUGCUCCUCGCUGGGCACCGCUGAGCCGCUGACGACGGGGGCACCCCCAGGAGAGGGUUCUGGAACCCCACACCAGCGCGGUGUGGGAGGCAGGCUUAUGUUACAGCAGAGGAAACAGGUUGGGAGGGGACGGCCAGCCAGCAGACAGGCUGAGCCCAUGGGGGCGCCUCGUGGAGUCUGAAACCAAGGAUGUGACACCGGUCAGGCUAUCAGGGUGACAGUGUCCCCGUCAGCUAAUGUUUCUUUGAACCUGGGGAGCCGAGGGGACCAGCCGCUGGGCUGCCAUGUGCCAGGAGCUCCAGGGGCCAGCUCGGCCAGCCCGCUCCUUGGGAUGGCCUGACACAGGCGUGGGCCACGUUGUGUGGGGACAGCCGGCUUCUGGGUUCUCUGACUCACCCUCUCUGCCCAGGGCUGGUGGGUGUGUAGUGGGCAAGGCCAGAGCUCACCUCUUUGCCGGUGCCCGGUGCCCUCUGCGGCAGCUGAGUAGCCCCGAGGGCCCCCUGGGAGGCCUUCUACCUUCCCAAGGAGAUGCUUCUUAGGAGUGAGACCUAGGGCUCAGGCAGCAGAGCACGGCUCGUGGGGCAGGGCCUUUCUUCAUCCAGCUCUGCUCUGAGGGCUCGAGUCACGGCCGUCUCCGCUCCACGUGGGCAGACGUAGCUAAAGCAGGCCUGUCCCCGCCGCGAGGCAUGGCGGUCUGGAUGAUCAGGGACCCCCAUGUCAACACUAGGACGGUCUGGAAAUUUCCGGCCACGAGGCUUAAACUGGGCGAUGCCGGGACCAGGCCUGGGUGAGCUCGUCUUCUGCAAAGCCACCGGGGCUCUCGGCUGUGCCUUGGGGACGUGGCGUGAGAUGUGCCCUGACGGUCACUGUGGAGGCUGUGCCCAGCCAAGCUCGGCAGCACUGCUACCUGCGCUGUUUCCUCCAGGCUGGCCCAGGGCAGGCCCGGGGCGUUGGGACUUGGGGGUCUGUGAUUUGGUGGGGUGGGGUUGGUCCAGCCUCUCAGGGGCUGGGGGGCAGGCUCCAGCAUCACAGGUGGCCUCAGCUGGGACAUGGGACCCUCCCCUGUCUCACCUUCAGCCUCCGCAUCAAGGGCCUCGGAGCAAAGAGCCUUGGUGCAAAGCGCACUUGAGGCCACUGGUCCCGAGCAGCGUGGGACCCGAGAGCGCCUGGUAUCCCGGUCCUGUUCCCAUCGCCCUGGGCCGGGAGAAACAUCCCAGGGGGACACGAGGAUGGAGGGACCAGUGUGGGGGGCAAGGUGAGGGCAGCCUUCUGCACGCACGGCCCGGGGGCUCUGGGGGUGGAGUGGGGAGCCCGAGGGAGGCCUGGCGGGUUGCCACGACGCAGCUGAACCCCCUGUUCUGGGAAGGUAUUGGUGGAAGGUCUGGCAGGAGCCCACACAUGGCGAGCGCUGCCUGGAGCAGGGCGCGUGGACUGGGGGUCGGGGGAGGGGCAGGUUCCCCCAAAGGGGAAAUUGAAGGCCCAGGCGGUGCCUGCGGCCGAGGAAACUUGCUGUUCCCUUUGGCUCAUCGGUGAUGCUCCGGCCUGGGGCUCACCUUUCUGGUCUGAAGGUGGCGUCCCCCCCCUUGGGGGAGGAAGGGUGCUGAGGCCGCGCCAGCUGCAGGCUGGGGGGUCUGGGCUUCUCCUGGGCGACCGCGUUUCCAGGACAGCCCCUCCUCUCUGGGCAGGUUCUGCGCUCAGAAGCGGCUCCUCUGGGGAACGGGGACUCCGGUUAGUGAGAAGAACAAAGCCUGUCAUCAACCUGGGGAUGGCCCCCCCGAAGGGCGCGCUGGGGCCCAGGGAUUGGGACUAGAUGGGGUGAUGGUGGAGGGGGCUUGACACCCCCCGGAGGUCUUCUCAGGGCCAGGCCUCUGGGCUCCUCCUGAGGCAGAGCCUCCAAGGCCUCCGCGGUGUCCAAGCCUGGCUCAGGGGCCGAAGACGCAUGGCGCUGAUGCGGAAACCGAAGCCCUGGGAGGAAGGAAGUGCUUCUCAGUACAGAAGACCUGGGGUAUCAACGGGGAUAUGCUGAGAGCCCCGUUGGUGCCUGGAGAGGAACCCUGCUGUGGCGGCAGGAGCCAGGCCCCUCGGGGCUCCCAUCAUAUGUCGGGUGAAGAAUUGGGUGCUGGUGUCCCAUCCCCUGGUCCCCAGCUCUGGAGAGCUCACAGGCUGGGGGGGAGCCUCACAGAGGGACAGAGGGUGCAAGCUGCCGCUGGGCUCAGGAAGCCCCGGCCAGGCUCGGGGCUGGUCAGCCAGCUGCCCACGGGGCCACGUAGGGGCUGGGCCUUCCCGUGGCAUGUGGAGUGGCCAGUGUGGAGCCGGUCCAGAGCAGCAGUCUGUCCCGGGGACAGGGGUGGCUUGUGGGCAGGGCUGGGUGCCCGCGGGGAGGGAG
rnacentral:lncRNA from 9 species